rnacentral:rRNA from 1 species
UACAGAGGUCCCAAGCGUUGUUCGGAUUCACUGGGCGUAAAGGGUGCGUAGGUGGCCGGGUAAGUCUGACGUGAAAUCUCCGAGCCUAACUCGGAAACUGCAUCGGAUACUAUCCGGCUCGAGGGUUGGAGGGGGGACUGGAAUACUUGGUGUAGCAGUGAAAUGCGUAGAUAUCAAGUGGAACACCAGUGGCGAAGGCGAGUCUCUGGACAUUUCCUGACGCUGAGGCACGAAAGCCAGGGGAGCAAACGGG